UACGUAGGCAGCAAGCGUUGUUCGGAAUUACUGGGCGUAAAGGGUGCGUAGGCGGCUUUUUAAGUUUGGUGUGAAAUCUCCCGGCUCAACUGGGAGGGUGCGCCGAAUACUGAGAAGCUAGAGUGUGGGAGAGGAAAGUGGAAUUCCUGGUGUAGCGGUGAAAUGCGUAGAUAUCAUGAGGAAUACCAGAGGCGAAGGCGGCUACCUGGACAAUUGCUGACGCUCAGGCACGAAAGCGUGGGGAGCAAAAGGG
rnacentral:rRNA from 1 species